GUUGUAUGGUUAAGCGACCAAGCGUAUACGGUGGAUGCCUUGGCAGUCAGAGGCGAUGAAGGACGUAGUAAC
rnacentral:rRNA from 1 species